rnacentral:rRNA from 1 species
GACGUAGGGCGCGAGCGUUGUCCGGAUUUAUUGGGCGUAAAGAGCUCGUAGGCGGUUUGUCGCGUCUGCUGUGAAAACCUAAGGCUCAACCUUGGGCUUGCAGUGGGUACGGGCAGACUAGAGUGCAGUAGGGGAGACUGGAAUUCCUGGUGUAGCGGUGAAAUGCGCAGAUAUCAGGAGGAACACCGAUGGCGAAGGCAGGUCUCUGGGCUGUAACUGACGCUGAGGAGUGAAAGCAUGGGGAGCGAACAGG